rnacentral:rRNA from 1 species
UACGGGGGGGGGCAAGCGUUGUUCGGAAUUACUGGGCGUAAAGGGCUCGUAGGCGGCCAACUAAGUCAGACGUGAAAUCCCUCGGCUUAACCGAGGAACUGCCCUCCAAACUGCUUGGCUUGAGUCCGGGAGAGGUGAGUGGAAUUCCCAGUGUAGCGGUGAAAUGCGUAGAUAUUGGGAGGAACACCAGUGGCGAAGGCGGCUCACUGGACCGGAACUGACGCUGAGGCGCGAAAGCGUGGGGAGCAAACGGG